rnacentral:piRNA from 1 species
CUGAUGCUCCUUAAAUUCCCAAAAUGC